GAGCCUUUCAGGCGAGAAUAAGUACUGCUAACUUUUUAUUCCCAUGGUUCAACUCCAUGGCUGGCUCG
rnacentral:tRNA from 1 species